UACAGAGGUCUCAAGCGUUGUUCGGAAUCACUGGGCGUAAAGGGUGCGUAGGCUGCGGAGAAAGUCUGGUGUGAAAUUUACGAGCUCAACUCGUAACUAGCACCUGAUACUACUUUGCUAGAGAUCUGGAGAGGAGCUUGGAAUUCUCGGUGUAGCAGUGAAAUGCGUAGAUUUCGAGAAGAACGCUCGCUGCGAAAGCGAAGCUCUGGUCAGAUUCUGACGCUGAGGCACGAAGGCUAGGGGAGCAAACGGG
rnacentral:rRNA from 1 species